rnacentral:rRNA from 1 species
GACGAACGCUGGCGGCGUGCUUAAUACAUGCAAGUCGAGCGGAAAGGCCCGGCGUUUGUUGGGUGCUCGUGUGGCGAACGGGUGAGUAACACGCGAGUAUACUCCCCCUGUCUUUGUGAUAACUUCAGGGAACUGCGGAGAUAAUCGGGGAGAAUAUAUUGAUCCAUGUGGGGGGUUGGAGAGAUUCGGCGGUGGGGGAUCGAAUCGCAGGUUAUCAGCUGGUUGGGGGGGUAGUGGCUUACAAGGGCUUUGAGGGGUAGCCGGCCUGGGAGGGUGGACGGCCACAUGGGGACUGCGAGAGGGCCCAGAAUCCUACGGGAGGCAGCAGUGGGGAAUAUUGCAGAAUGGGCGGAAGCCUGAUGCAGCAGCGCCGCGUGCGGGAUGACGGCCUUCGGGUUGUAAACCGAUUUCGCAGGUGACGUAGCGUGCGUGACGGUAAUGGGUAAGGAAGCACCGGCUAACUACGUG